rnacentral:rRNA from 1 species
CCUACGGGAGGCAGCAGUGGGGAAUUUUGGACAAUGGGCGCAAGCCUGAUCCAGCAAUGCCGCGUGCAGGAUGAAGGCCUUCGGGUUGUAAACUGCUUUUGUACGGAACGAAAAAGUUCUUUCUAAUAAAGAGAGCUCAUGACGGUACCGUAAGAAUAAGCACCGGCUAACUACGUGCCAGCAGCCGCGGUAAUACGUAGGGUGCGAGCGUUAAUCGGAAUUACUGGGCGUAAAGCGUGCGCAGGCGGUUAUAUAAGACAGAUGUGAAAUCCCCGGGCUCAACCUGGGACCUGCAUUUGUGACUGUAUAGCUAGAGUACGGUAGAGGGGGAUGGAAUUCCGCGUGUAGCAGUGAAAUGCGUAGAUAUGCGGAGGAACACCGAUGGCGAAGGCAAUCCCCUGGACCUGUACUGACGCUCAUGCACGAAAGCGUGGGGAGCAAACAGGAUUAGAUACCCUGGUAGUCCACGCCCUAAACGAUGUCAACUGGUUGUUGGGUCUUCACUGACUCAGUAACGAAGCUAACGCGUGAAGUUGACCGCCUGGGGAGUCGGCGCAAGGUUGAAACUCAAGNAGUCGGNGNGNGAGAGCGACGACGACGACGAGGAGGAGGAGG